GCCCAACCCCUCAGAAUACUGAGCUGCUCUGAUCAUAGCAGUCUUUAACUGCCAUUGGUUAUGCAUAGAGGCAGAGGAGGCAAGGCUUAAGAGAAGAUCUGUAAGGACCAGAAAAGCAACAAGCAAGGGGCAUCAGAAGCAGCAGACUGUGAGAAACAAGGGAGGGUUUAGAAAUAGUAUAUGAUCAAGAUCUAAUAAGGAGGUGCUUGAGUGGGGAAGACAAUAUGGAAGCAUUUGGCAGAGGUUUGAACUACACAUGUCCAGAAACUGUAGAGGAGUAACAGAGGUCGACAGAAGGGAUUUCAUAGUUACAGAGGAAGUGCUAGUAAGAAUAUAAAGAGGAUUAACCCCUAAAGAUGACUCAAGCUCAGCAUUUUGGUAGAAUCUUCGGCACCUGAUGGUACAAGAGCUCCCUCCCAAUUUGGCCAUUCCUCAGGUUUGAUUACUGCCUGAAGUCUGGUCUCCUCAGCAUUCAGAAUGAGG